AUAAACAUCACAUAAUGAAAUUACGAAACUUUGAAAUAUUAAACUAUACUAUUGAUUAAAAUAAGGAAUUGCUGCUGUAUUUCAAAUUUUAGAAUUUAUGCUUGAUUUGUAAAGUCUUGUUGAUUGGCUACGACCCUGCCGCGUUGUGACGUCACCAGGCAACCCCAUUCACCCUCCCAACGAGUCUGGUUACAGCACCAGCUGAUAUCGAGCAGGAAGACCCCGACCAAUACAUGCGAUGACCUACUGAUAUACACAUGGGAAAAGAGAUCUAUUGAGAGAACAUCUUCACUUUGAAUUUACCUUGAGCGCGCGAAAAUAUAGAUGAAACAGUUCCAUACCCUGACCUUGACUAGAUAAAUUUUGUAGGACCUUCCACUGGCUUAUUCUACAAGCUUUUAAUAAAAAGUUUCGUUUCAUUAAAAUAUAAAAUUUCUUUU